rnacentral:rRNA from 1 species
UACAUGGGGUGCAAACGUUGCUCGGAAUUAUUGGGCGUAAAGCGCACGUAGGCGGUUCGUUAAGUCGGAUGUGAAAGCCCUCGGCUCAACUGAGGAAGUGCACCCGAAACUGGCGAGCUUGAGUACGAAAGAGGAUCGCGGAAUUCCCGGUGUAGAGGUGAAAUUCGUAGAUAUCGUAAGGAAGACCAGUGGCGAAGGCGGGUCUCUGGACAGUUCCUGACGCUGAGGCACGAAGGUCAGGGGAGCAAACGGG